CUCCUUCACCCUUUCCUUUCCCUUUCCCUUCUUCAUACUUCUCUCUUUCUCCUUUUUUUCUUCCCAUUUCUAUUCCUUGAACCCUCUUUUCUUGCUCCUUUCAUUUCUCCUCCAGAGUGCCUUUUUUCCUCUCUUCCAGUUGACUCACUCCUCCAAGAAUAGGGAUCUUGUGCUUUCCUGUCAAUUUGAUCCUGGAAAAACUCCUUCCUCUCUCCCUUCCGGCCUCCUGUCUUCCCCCCUACUCUCAAACUGGGAGCCAUAUGUGUGGCAAGUUGUGUGCUAUACUGUGGGGAUCCUGCCUCCCUAUCAUUAUACUCUUAGAAGGGCUCUGCUGUCCCCCAGCCAACUUUUCCCAAGCCUAAGUCUCCUUUCUCAUUAUUGGAGAGCUGGAGCAGAAUUGGUGCAUCUCUGAGCGCCCCUCAGAACUCACUUAGCACACCAUCCCUCUCUCAUCCCCCAUCCUGGAACAGGGCUAACCAUACUUAUAUAUUACCAUCCUGAUAGAGAUCAUGUGUUCGAAG